AAAGACACGACAGUGUCUCACGCCUAGGGCAGGAAGAUUCGCAAGAUCCAUUAGAAUUAAGUUGUUAUUUUAUUAUGACAUACAUAAAUUAAAUAACUGUAUAAGUAUAUAUGUAUAAUAUACAAUUUAUAUACAAUAAGUGUAAUAAAUAAUUUAAUAGUACAAAUUUCUAAUCGUCGGUCUGUAAAUAUGAUUAUAAGAGCGAGCGGAGAGUAACGCGAAAAUCCGAUAAUUACAUGAGAACGAGCGAGAAAGUAAUGAAAGCGAGCGAGACGACACAGAGUCUAAAGAGCGAGCGAAACAGUAAUAGAAACGAGCGAGAUAAGAAUAACAGCACGAGAAAAAGGCUCGAAGCUCGAGCGACUCGAGGCUCGAGACUUUCCCCCACUUUUCGUCUUGUAUUUUUAUCUCGCUCGUUCCUAUUACCGUCUCGUUCGCGCUUCAGGCUCUCUUAUUGUCGUCUCGCUCGCUCUUAUUACCUUCUCGCUCACUCUCAUACAGCUGUCGCUUUGUGUACAUAGCACGGAACGCAACCUAAGAAUUGAGCAUAUGAGUUAUCCUUCGGAUACUGGUUAUAAUUCAUAUCCACGUCGUUAAUGUCCUGAGGGCGCUCACCGGCCAAAACCGACUCGCAACGUCGCUCUAGCGUUUCGCUGAUGUGCGCUACCCCUUCUCCUGCCACAUCUAUGUGGCAAAACUCUGAAAUGUGCAACACUGGGCUACCGUCGCACAGGACACGUAUUCCAGUUUUUAGGUUAUGUAUCACUUAUUUCACGAACGGUUCCCGCUUCCCUAUAACUGUGUCUAAUCUUUCUUUUUUUUUUCUGGUGCUGCUGCCGCUGCUGCUGAAUACCGGGCUGCGUUCCGUUUCAACGCAUGAUGCGCAUAAUGCAUUGUUCAUCCUUGUUUAACGUUUGACAAACAACAAGGAUGAACGAUGCAUCAUGCGUAUUAUGCGUGAAACGGAACGCACCCCCGGUAAGAGGCCAAAAUCCACAAAACUAGACAGGAUAAUGUUGGCAACGCUUAAAAUCUCUAGGAUCCAUAAAUUUAUUUUUUGAGGGUUUCAGCACUGUUGAAGCGUAAGAGUGUGCACAGAGUAGUACAGAGUGUGUACAGAAAUAAAGUGUUGUGACAAGUGUAAUGGAAGAAGAUGACGACAGGCCGAGGAAAAAGAAGAAAAAGGAUAUAAUAUUUGGUAGUUUUAUUAUAGACGAAGGUGAAAUAGACAAUAAAGUUGAGGAUGAUGAUGAAUAGGAGGAAUAUUUGUGUGCAAGACCAGACAUUUACAGCUGUAAAUAAGAUGACUUAUUAAUUUUAUGUCACCAGUGGUAGGAUUCAUGUCACCUUCUCAGAAUUAUUUCCUCGGUGCAUUCUAGCGGAGGCAGUUUCAUACGACAGAUACAUAUUCGUGACUCUCAUGAUGAUCCUGCGCUCGCUGGACAACAAGCAAUCAUCCGAGGAAUUUUUUGCUUUUAUUUGAAACGUGUCAUUCGUUGCUUAAACGGAAUGUAACGUAAAAGAGAUACGAAUAAUUUUAUUUAAAUUCCUUUUUUUAUUAAUUGGUAAAACAACGUGUUAAACUAUAAUGAUAUCAAUGAUUAUAUUGAUACCUGUAAUUGGUUAAAAAAAUAUAAUAAAAAAAUAUCUUUUAAAUCAUUUAUCAUCGACAACUUGGGAUAAUUUGUACAAUGUUAUUAAUAAAUCAAUAUUAUCAUCGUC